AGUCCCAGGCACCUCUCUUUCCCGAUUCACAUCUCUCACUGAGCGCCAUGUCAACAAUGUUGCCGCCGCCAUCUCCGAUUCCAGGCAGCUCUGACUCUCUCGUGCACCGCCCUUCACUGACCCAGCUUCCCCUCAUUGUUCUCCUCCGACACUCCUCUACUGUGGUGCCCUUCGCGCCCCUGCACGCGCCCCCACGACAACCCUAGGCGCCACGGGUCGUCGGCGCUCUUGCGCCUCCGGUUUGUCGGUCCACUAACCCAAGGUGCGGAUGCAGUCUCGGACUCUAGGGCACUACUCCGCCUCGGCGACCUCUACUUCGAUGUCUAUGGUUCAUGCAGGGGCAGGGGUGGUGUCUCCUUUAUGGGCUGAAAAAUUGGAGGUUCGAUGGUAGCUCCCUGACGCACAGUGGCGGUGCAGCGACUCCGAGAUGCACAAGGGCGUCGUGGCCACUCCCAUACGUACAGCGGCAGUACGGCCACCCGAGAUGCACAAUGGUGGCGCGACGACUCCCAGAUGCACAACAGCAGCAUGGUGGCUCUAUAGUGAUGGUAAUAGAAACUCGGUUGUUCCAGGCAGUGGCGACACUACAUAAUGACUGCGAUGUCAAAGGACCACACAAGAUCAAUAUUCUAGGCACUAAAAAUUAGCAGACUACUGGUGCCAUGUUGGAAUUACUAUGAGAUUGUUAAGGUAAGUUGAUGAUGCAUAGCUCAGAUGUGGAUUGCAAGGUCAGAUGUUGAUAGCAAGGUUGAGAACGGGGUUGCUACUGGAUAGUCUUAAGUUACGGUUUAGGAUGUCAUAUGUAAUAGGCGUCGAUUGAAACGUCCAUAACUUGGCUACUAGUAUCACAUCUUGUAAUCUUUGGAUCAUGUUCUAGUAUCAUAUCUUGUAUACUUUGGACCUUGUUCUUUGUGAAAGCAACAAAGUAAAUUUAAUAUAUGAGACCCAUCCCUUUUUUA